AAAGGACCACAAGGAGGACAAAGACAAGUCUAAGGAACAUAAAGACAAGAAACAUGGUGACAAGAAGGACAAAGGACACAAGAAGAAGGACAAGAAGCCCAAGGAGCAUAAGGACAAAGAUGAUGGGUCUUCCUCUUCCAGCAGCGAUGAGGAUGAAGGCAAGAAGAAGCAUCACUGAUUCUGGUGCUGUGAGGAGGUGCUACUGCCAGUGAACUCUUGUUUUGUACUGCAGUGUUGCCUGCAUGGUAUUUGCUGUGUACUGUUUCCUUGUUGAUCCUGAUCAUGUUUUGAUAUGCCAGACUGUAAAGUAGUGGUUUUACAACAGCACAUUAAAUAACACAACAACCAGGAUAUAUGGUGGAUUGUCAUCUAAUGUCCACCAGAAGGGGGAGGUGUUCUUCAUUGAAUAUUUAUUUAAUAUAUUCAAUUGCUUUGUUGAAGUUUUUUUUGAUAAAUUGUCCAGUUCAAAAGCUUGAA